ensembl:lncRNA
GGGGGAGAUAGAGGUGGAGAUGGAGGUGGAGAUAGAGGUGGAGAUGGAGGUGGAGAUGGAGAUGAGGGGGAGAUAGAGGUGGAGAUGGAGGUGGAGAUAGAGGUGGAGAUGGAGGUGGAGAUAGAGGUGGAGAUAGAGGUGGAGAUGGAGAUGAGGGGGAGAUAGAGGUGGAGAUGGAGGUGGAGAUAGAGGUGGAGAUGAGGGGGAGAUGAGGAGAAGAUAGAGGUGGGAAUAGAGGUGGGAAUAGAGGUGGAGAUGGAGGUGGAGAUGGAGGUGGAGAUAGAGGUGUGAGAAAGAGUGAACAUCAAAGUGUGAGUGGAUGUAGCCCUGCGAAGCUCAGAGUUUCAGCCCCUGUGACCCCUAAUGAGGGAUAUCAGCUCUCGCCACUGGCCCAUACUAAUGAGCUAAUGAGCGGGGGGUGCCGCACCUCUGGCCGCACCUCUGGCCGCAACUACUCCAUUAAUCAGACUGGAGAAACAGCCAUCAGC